rnacentral:tRNA from 1 species
ACGGCUGUGGUCAAGUGGUACUUAGCAUACGUUAAUUAUGCUAAGCGCAAAAUGACAUGAGCUUCCCAAGCUUAUAGUCCGGGUUCGAUUCCCGGCAGCCGUA